GGAUUAGGCAUGCAAGUCGAGCGAUCACGUGGAUGUAGCAAUACUUUCACGUGGGAGCGGCGGAAGGGCGAGGAACGCGUGGACAACCUGUCCGCGGGGUGGGGAUAACUCCGUGAAAACGGAGCUAAUACCGAAUGCGGCGUCCCGGCACAUGCCGGGAGCGUCAAAGGGCGGGACCGCAAGGCCGCCCCCCCGGGGAAGGGUCCGCGUACCAUCAGCUAGUUGGCGGGGUAACGGCCCACCAAGGCUCACGGUUAGCUGGUCUGAGAGGACGACCAGCCGCACUGGGACUGAGAUACUGCCCAGACUCCUACGGGAGGCUGCAGUCGAGGAUCAUUCGCAAUGGGGGAAACCCUGACGAUGCGACGCUGCGUGGAGGAUGAAGGCCCUCGGGUUGUAAACUCCUGUCAUGAGGGGAGAGGCGGAGGCGGCGAACAGCCGCCCGAGUUGACGGUACCUCAAGAGGAAGCCACGGCUAACUCUGUGCCAGCAGCCGCGGUAAUA
rnacentral:rRNA from 1 species